UGGCAUGUCCCCCUGGAUUUGUGGUCCAUUGUUGGGGUUCCGUCUCUAUCCUCAAGCCUUCUCUAUAUACAUUCUUUUCAUUGCGGUGAGAUUGGAGAAGUAGAGUGGGGAAAAAGGCCAGCAUUGCUUUCAAGUAUGGAUAUUCCAGGUAUAAUUUGAAAGGACAUUUUUGUACACAAAUGGUUAUCCUCAGGGCUGGGCAGCCUUGCAUUUGAUUCUCGGGAGGAGGUGCUACUCUACAAGGGCAGGGAGAACAUCAGAAAAAGCAUAUGAGAUGGUAUGGAAAAUUCAAGGUACUAUUUCUUUGUUUCUUGCUGUGUUCUAGAGAUAAUUGUAGGUAGCCUAUAGAGAUGACUAUGACACAGUGGCCAUAGAGGGAAAAGAUGGGGAAGGCAAAUGGUGGCGCCGGGAAUGAGGCCACUCUGCACACCCAACCUCACGACUGGCUGAGGGCUGUCCUUAGCUGUAACCGCUGGUCCCCAAGGGUAACCUUGUUGGUGAUCUGAAUCUCAUUGCCAUAGGUAGAAGUGGAACCAACUCUUCUUGGUGCUGAGUGCAGGCAAGAUGCUUCCUGAGGAACCUCACCAAGAGUACCUGUGUCCUCACCACUAAUGUCAUGGAGAGGGUCCCACAUACGUUACCCCUCACCUCUAGUCAGUAGCUUCAUUCUGGAGGCAAGCAGGAAAGGCAAUUUUGUAUGUAGCUGAAAGGUUGUGUGGUGUCACUGGGGCCAUUGUUAGGUGAUAGAAAGAACCUGGAGUUCGUCCUUCCUGGGUUCCACUCCCAGACAGUUACUCCAGUUGGGAGCCUUCCUGGCAUGGUGGCAUGAGAAUUGCAGGAGGCGUGCAGAGGACCUAACCCGGUGCUGAGCUCCUAGCAAACCUAGAAUCAUGAAUGACAGAGGAAAGAGAUUGUAAGAGAAAUUGAAAUUGCCAAGGUCAGAUAUGGAGAAGCAAGAAAAUGCUGAGAGGACUAUAUUAUGGCAAGCUGAGUGUCUGAGCGACUUCACGUUAUUCCUGUCUUGGCCUAAAAUAAAGAAAUAUCGCAACUGUG